rnacentral:rRNA from 1 species
GAUGAACGCUGGCGGCGUGCCUAAUACAUGCAAGUCGAGCGAACAGAUGAGGAGCUUGCUCCUCUGACGUUAGCGGCGGACGGGUGAGUAACACGUGGAUAACCUACCUAUAAGACUGGGAUAACUUCGGGAAACCGGAGCUAAUACCGGAUAAUAUAUUGAACCGCAUGGUUCAAUAGUGAAAGACGGUUUUGCUGUCACUUAUAGAUGGAUCUGCGCCGCAUUAGCUAGUUGGUAAGGUAACGGCUUACCAAGGCAACGAUGCGUAGCCGACCUGAGAGGGUGAUCGGCCACACUGGAACUGAGACACGGUCCAGACGCCUACGGGAGGCAGCAGUAGGGAAUCUUCCGCAAUGGGCGAAAGCCUGACGGAGCAACGCCGCGUGAGUGAUGAAGGUCUUCGGAUCGUAAAACUCUGUUAUUAGGGAAGAACAAAUGUGUAAGUAACUAUGCACGUCUUGACGGUACCUAAUCAGAAAGCCACGGCUAACUACGUG